UAGACUCCCUCUCUCCCUGCCCUCCCCUUUCCAGAAUCUGAUGCCAAUAUGACUGAACUCCAGUUUUUGUGGUUGUUGUCGCCACCGCCGCCGCUGCUAGGGCUGGUGAUACAGUGCCGCUGAGGAAUGAUCCUUUAAACAACCACUGGCCACAGAACCUCAGCCCUCUAAGGUCAGAAUAUUAUUGCUUUUACCAUCAGAAGUUUAAAUCUUCAGGGGGAAAAUGAAGUUCCAGGGCCACAGUGAAAGGAGAAUUGGAGAAGAAAAUUCUUGGAGGCCAGGCAAAUGUCAUGCAUUGUAUUGCAGUAGUUAAGGAAGUUCACGGACUUCAUCAGGUGACCUCAUAGCCCAUAAAAUAAAGGAGAGAUGCAAG
rnacentral:lncRNA from 1 species